rnacentral:rRNA from 1 species
UACAGAGGGGGCGAGCGUUAUUCGGAAUUAUUGGGCGUAAAGGGCGCGUAGGCGGCUUUUCAAGUGACGGGUGAAAUCCCUCGGCUUAACCGAGGAACUGCCUGUCAGACUGGAAGGCUUGAGACCGGGAGAGGUGAGUGGAAUUCCCAGUGUAGCGGUGAAAUGCGUAGAUAUUGGGAGGAACACCAGUGGCGAAGGCGGCUCACUGGACCGGAACUGACGCUGAGGCGCGAAAGCAUGGGGAGCGAACAGG